rnacentral:misc_RNA from 1 species
AGCUUGAUGAUAUUAUCAAAUGCAAAUCUUUCUAAGAUGUCUUGAAUGUCAAUAAUUCUACCCCUUUGAGAUGCUUCUUCAAGUAUUGGAAUCAAUCGCGUAUGAAUCUCAACCUGUGCAGUUUCCAUAACGAAAUUCCUCAGAGAUCUGGUGCUAAAUUCAUAGCUAGCAGAUUUCCGUUGAGUUCUCCAACUUUCACCAUCCACAUUGAAAAGGCCAUCGCCGAA